GCACUGUCUGCAUAUCUACACCCAUAAUUAAGAGAUGACCAAUCAGUCUCUGUUGAGGCAGUGUGGUAUCUACGGCCAUGUGACUAUUUGGUGUGCUGUGUGCAGACAAGAAAGAAAGAAGAAAAUAGAUACCGACGACAACGUGCAGUGUUGAAUUCUACAUGGGCGUCAAAGAGAGCCACGACCGGAGCAGAGGCGGUCCUCCAUCCACUGACCCGGGCCCUGAUCAGUCCCUCCCGCCUGUCAUGGCGGACCAGCUUCAUGAAUCCUGGACCAUGCUGGGUGUUGGUCUCUUUCACAAAACUGUGCAGGCCCUGGCUGCUGCUCCAGUCUGUAUUCAC